GACGAACGCUGGCGGCGUGCCUAAUACAUGCAAGUAGAACGCUGAAGGAGGAGCUUGCUUCUCUGGCUGAGUUGCGAACGGGUGAGUAACGCGUAGGUAACCUGCCUGGUAGCGGGGGACAACUAUUGGAAACGAUAGCUAAUACCGCAUAACAGUAGAUAUCGCAUGAUACCUACUUGAAAGGUGCAAUUGCAUCACUACCAGAUGGACCUGCGUUGUAUUAGCUAGUUGGUGAGGUAACGGCUCACCAAGGCGACGAUACAUAGCCGACCUGGGAGGGUGAUCGGCCACACUGGGACUGAGACACGGCCCAGACUCCUACGGGAGGCAGCAGUAGGGAAUCUUCGGCAAUGGACGGAAGUCUGACCGAGCAACGCCGCGGGGGUGAAGAAGGUUUUCGGAUCGUAAAGCUCUGUUGUAAGGGAAGAACGAGUGUGAGGGUGGAAAGUUCACACUGUGACGGUAUCUUACCAGAAAGGGACGGCUAACUACGUG
rnacentral:rRNA from 1 species